GAGCCUGAUGCAGCAACGCCGCGUGAGGGAUGACGGCCUUCGGGUUGUAAACCUCUUUUAGCAAGGAAGAAGCGAAAGUGACGGUACUUGCAGAAAAAGCGCCGGCUAACUACGUGCCAGCAGCCGCGGUAAUACGUAGGGCGCAAGCGUUAUCCGGAAUUAUUGGGCGUAAAGAGCUCGUAGGCGGUUUGUCGCGUCUGCUGUGAAAUCCCGAGGCUCAACCUCGGGCCUGCAGUGGGUACGGGCAGACUAGAGUGCGGUAGGGGAGAUUGGAAUUCCUGGUGUAGCGGUGGAAUGCGCAGAUAUCAGGAGGAACACCGAUGGCGAAGGCAGAUCUCUGGGCCGUAACUGACGCUGAGGAGCGAAAGGGUGGGGAGCAAACAGGCUUAGAUACCCUGGUAGUCCACCCCGUAAACGUUGGGAACUAGUUGUGGGGUCCUUUCCACGGAUUCCGUGACGCAGCUAACGCAUUAAGUUCCCCGCCUGGGGAGUACGGCCGCAAGGCUAAAACUCAAAGGAAUUGACGGGGACCCGCACAAGCGGCGGAGCAUGCGGAUUAAUUCGAUGCAACGCGAAGAACCUUACCAAGGCUUGACAUACACGAGAACACUCUAGAAAUAGGGGACUCUUUGGA
rnacentral:rRNA from 1 species